ACAGCUUUAUAAAUAAAAAAAACAUUGUUGAGCUUGGAAUGUGGCAUAAUUAAGAUAUGUGUGGGGGGUCCCUUUUAAAUUGAACAGGAGGGACAAUCAAGCAGGUGGGGCCUCCAUUCCUGUCUUGCUACCAAUGGCAGCUGGCACUAUAAUCCCAGGCAUUGGGUCUGGACCCUUCAGCACCACCAGUGGGAAAGCAAAGGCUGGCCUUGGGAUGUCAUACCAGACCCAGGGGAAGUAGGCCAGAACCCAUUCUUCAGAUGGUGGCCAGUGAGAUUCACAAAGUGACAGCAGAGCCACAUGAUCGGGCCUAACCCAGACCUUGCAGGUUGUUCCCAGGCUUCCUGGUUGAUGCUCUUCUUGCAUCCCCAAAUAGGAUGAAGCAGAGAAGAAGGAUGAGAAAGAGAAGAAGAAGGAGCCCGAACCUUCCUUCCAGAUCCUUGACAAUCCAGCCCGGGUGAUGCCAGCCCAACUCAAGGUGCUCACCAUGCCAGAGAGCUGCCGGUACCAGCCUUUUAAGCCUCUUUCCAUUGGGGGCAUUAUCGUCUUGCGAGACACCAGCGAGGACACAGAAGAACUGGUGGAGCCGGUGGCAGCUCACGGGCCAAAGAUAGAGGAGGAGGAGCAGGAGCCAGAGCCCCCCGAACCUUUCGAGUACAUCGACGACUAGGAUGAGGUGGGCAGCCCUCAGUGGGGUUUGGCACAACGUCUGGAUGUCUGGAGCCCUGGGAGGAAGUUCCUGUGGGAAGCCACAGCUCAGCGCACGUCCCAACACUUCUCGGUUGGCAGUCCACGUUCGACAGACAGAGAAGAACUAUGUUCUCUUUAGUGUACUCUUUCACAAGAAACCGGUUUUCAAAAUAAAUUAAUUAAAAACCCCAA